AAGAGUGUAGCUCAGUGGUAGAGUACAUGCUUAGCAUGAAUGAGGCCCUGGGUUCCAUCCUCAGCACAAUGG
rnacentral:tRNA from 1 species